CAGAAAGAAAGGGAGAGGAGAACUACUGCAGAAUGACAGAAAAUGUCACCUUCCCCAAUUUAUUUAGAUUCUUCUCAUCCAGUUACAGAAUCCACAUGUUGACUGUAUUAGUUUAUGGCUCAUUAUGUAUGUUUGUCAACUUAUCUUGUCCCCCUUUUCUCCUUCCCAUGUGAUCUUCCAUCCAAAAACAUGAUUCUUUUACCAUUUUACUAGUUGACAUGAGAGAUUGCAACCUCAAUGAAUUUCCAAUUAAAUUUGAAAAGUCCUGCAUUUUUGAGAUUACAUGAUUACAUUUGAUCAUGAAAACACAUAGAAAUCUGAUGACAUACAUAAGUACUAUAGAAAUGAUUCAUAUUGUCUUUAGCUCAUGCAAGCAGAAAGGGCUUUUAACAUUUAUUUCUAAUAUACCAAACUGAAAACAUGGAUGUCUUUGCAUAAUUAAUUAAAUUGUGUUUGAAUAAUGAUGACCUGCCUUUUCCUCCUCCGAGCACCUAAUUAAAGAGAGAUGAAUUGGAUUACUAUAGACAGGGGAGGCAAAUAGAAAUUAUAUUGAUGUUUAAUCUAAUCUUCCUCCCAUUUGCAAAACACAUCAGAAGAUGUUUUUUCUGUUUCAGAGGACCCGUUAUUCAAAUGGACAAAAUCACAAGCACCUUCCCUCUGCUAAGCUUUAACUAAGAUUACUUUUCUGUGUCUUUUGAAUGCAAAACACAGUCGGGAAAACAUCGCUGUGUAUGCAAGUCUGGUUACUUGAAUAUACUGAUAGCAUCUCUGGAUCAGACAGCUCAGCAGAUCUAAGUGACUCUCGUGUGAUCUACUACUAAUGUCAACAGAUUUUCCUCACCACACCCUGGCCAGGAUAAAUAUUGUAUAUCAAGCACUGUGACAGAUCCAAAGAGGUUUCAUCCUGGCAUUACUCUAAUGGUACCAUCUCAUCUCUCAUUUGUCUCUGGUGUUGUCUAGGUGGAUAUGUACCAGCCCCACUGACUCCUCAACAAGCCAAAGCAGCCAAGUACGGCCAAUUGCAGAGCUUCCUUGGUGGUGCAGGAGGAGGAGCAGGAGGAGGAGGAGGAGUCUAUAGAGGUGGAGUUGCAGGAUGCCGGGGCAAAUUCUGUGGCAGGAGGAAGUAGAGGAUCUCUUGAGAUCCAGCGUGACCUCAAGACACCAUGGUGCUACUGCAUGAUCUAGAAUGUACAUUUUAUAUGCAAACAAACCCCGUUAGAAAACAUGUAAAGAUGUUUGGUUUUUUUACUUACUUGACUUCAUCGCCUGUUUUUAUACAAACCCACCGACCCAGAAUUUUGUACACGCUCCGGUGUGACGUAUGUUAGUUGCAGCUUUAACUCCCCGUACUGCACCAGCCCACUUAGAAUACAAAGAGUGUGUGUAUGUGUCACAGUGUGUUGUUGUUGUUGUGCAUGAAUGUGCGUGUGUUUCGUGUAUGGUUGUACUGUUGUGCGAAAGACUGACUGAACCAUCGACUGUCAAUGUGACCUAUGAAUGAUUUCUCUUUCCACUGAGGUGAACUGUCCUCAGUGUCACAGCCCACACUGUCGCACCUCGCUGUGCAGAGCUUGUCAUCUCUCUGACAUGUCAGAGGGGUUGGGUUGGUCGAGGCUCGUCCGAAAACUGAGGAAAUCUGGCCAAUCUCAGUGUCGUCUCUUGCUCCCCGUUUUCUCUGCUGCUAUUCUUAGGCCUGCUGGGUAUAAAGCAGCGGGAAUUGGGGCUCUGGCCAACCCAUCUGCUCUCAGUAACUUUGCUGAUUCUAGUUGCUAUGCAGUUCAGUUUUCUCUGCAUUUUUAAUGUUGCCAAACUUGUGAUGUAUGAAGAGCAGUUUCUGCUCUGAGGAACGACAUGCUGAAGAUGUUACACGAUGUUUAAAAAACAUGGGAAAGCCUUCCAAGUAUAGAUUAAUACGUAACUCGGAUACUACUCUGGCAUUUACAUUAUGUAUGUGUGAAUGUUUCAUGAUGUCUCUUGAAUAGAGCGCCGUAGUCUGCUUCAAAUGUUUAGUCUCAUUGCAGCAGUUAUUUACAUUUAUGUAACUUGUCAUUACAUGAUUAUUCAAGAUUGUUUGCACCAUUCUUUGACUCAUAGCUUUAUUGUUAUCAGGAAUGUGUGAACAUCCUUUGCUUUUGCAUUUAUUCAGUGUUUAGAAUUGUAAUACAGAAUAAGACUUUGUUUAAUGGGAGAGACAAAGUGUUAAUGUGAGGCAUGAGCACCCAUUGUUCUUCAUUUACUUGAGCUGCUUUUAAAAAGGCCAAACUGACCAAAGGUGCAUGAGCGCUGUUGCCAAGUGACCCCAUCUCUCUCUGUAAUUGUGUACUGUAUUUUGUACUAAUUUGAUAAACGCUGGCUUCGGUUCCUUCACUCGGUGCUGUGUAAGAAAUGUCUUUGAGCCUCGCUGGGUCAGACCUUGUCUUAUGUGCCAAGGGAUACCCUUCAUCUUUAUUUAAAGCUGUUUUUAUAAGGAGGAACAGUGUGGUUUUGCACUUUUUAUAUUUCCACGACACACAUGUGACUUGUUCCUGGAAUCCAGCAUUUAUUUGCUUCAUUAAAUAACAAAAUACAAUGUGUUAAAA